rnacentral:rRNA from 1 species
GGGUUGUGAGGUUAAGCGACUAAGCGUACACGGUGGAUGCCCUGGCAGUCAGAGGCGAUGAAGGACGUGCUAAUCUGCGAUAAGCGUCGGUAAGGUGAUAUGAACCGUUAUAACCGGCGAUUUCCGAAUGGGGAAACCCAGUGUGUUUCGACACACUAUCAUUAACUGAAUCCAUAGGUUAAUGAGGCGAACCGGGGGAACUGAAACAUCUAAGUACCCCGAGGAAAAGAAAUCAACCGAGAUUCCCCCAGUAGCGGCGAGCGAACGGGGAGCAGCCCAGAGCCUGAAUCAGUGUGUGUGUUAGUGGAAGCGUCUGGAAAGGCGCGCGAUACAGGGUGACAGCCCCGUACACAAAAAUGCACAUACUGUGAGCUCGAUGAGUAGGGCGGGACACGUGGUAUCCUGUCUGAAUAUGGGGGGACCAUCCUCCAAGGCUAAAUACUCCUGACUGACCGAUAGUGAACCAGUACCGUGAGGGAAAGGCGAAAAGAACCCCGGCGAGGGGAGUGAAAAAGAACCUGAAACCGUGUACGUACAAGCAGUGGGAGCCUCUUUUAUGGGGUGACUGCGUACCUUUUGUAUAAUGGGUCAGCGACUUAUAUUCUGUAGCAAGGUUAACCGAAUAGGGGAGCCGAAGGGAAACCGAGUCUUAACCGGGCGUUAAGUUGCAGGGUAUAGACCCGAAACCCGGUGAUCUAGCCAUGGGCAGGUUGAAGGUUGGGUAACACUAACUGGAGGACCGAACCGACUAAUGUUGAAAAAUUAGCGGAUGACUUGUGGCUGGGGGUGAAAGGCCAAUCAAACCGGGAGAUAGCUGGUUCUCCCCGAAAGCUAUUUAGGUAGCGCCUCGUGAAUUCAUCUCCGGGGGUAGAGCACUGUUUCGGCAAGGGGGUCAUCCCGACUUACCAACCCGAUGCAAACUGCGAAUACCGGAGAAUGUUAUCACGGGAGACACACGGCGGGUGCUAACGUCCGUCGUGAAGAGGGAAACAACCCAGACCGCCAGCUAAGGUCCCAAAGUCAUGGUUAAGUGGGAAACGAUGUGGGAAGGCCCAGACAGCCAGGAUGUUGGCUUAGAAGCAGCCAUCAUUUAAAGAAAGCGUAAUAGCUCACUGGUCGAGUCGGCCUGCGCGGAAGAUGUAACGGGGCUAAACCAUGCACCGAAGCUGCGGCAGCGACACUGUGUGUUGUUGGGUAGGGGAGCGUUCUGUAAGCCUGUGAAGGUGUGCUGUGAGGCAUGCUGGAGGUAUCAGAAGUGCGAAUGCUGACAUAAGUAACGAUAAAGCGGGUGAAAAGCCCGCUCGCCGGAAGACCAAGGGUUCCUGUCCAACGUUAAUCGGGGCAGGGUGAGUCGACCCCUAAGGCGAGGCCGAAAGGCGUAGUCGAUGGGAAACAGGUUAAUAUUCCUGUACUUGGUGUUACUGCGAAGGGGGGACGGAGAAGGCUAUGUUGGCCGGGCGACGGUUGUCCCGGUUUAAGCGUGUAGGCUGGUUUUCCAGGCAAAUCCGGAAAAUCAAGGCUGAGGCGUGAUGACGAGGCACUACGGUGCUGAAGCAACAAAUGCCCUGCUUCCAGGAAAAGCCUCUAAGCAUCAGGUAACAUCAAAUCGUACCCCAAACCGACACAGGUGGUCAGGUAGAGAAUACCAAGGCGCUUGAGAGAACUCGGGUGAAGGAACUAGGCAAAAUGGUGCCGUAACUUCGGGAGAAGGCACGCUGAUAUGUAGGUGAAGUCCCUCGCGGAUGGAGCUGAAAUCAGUCGAAGAUACCAGCUGGCUGCAACUGUUUAUUAAAAACACAGCACUGUGCAAACACGAAAGUGGACGUAUACGGUGUGACGCCUGCCCGGUGCCGGAAGGUUAAUUGAUGGGGUCAGCGCAAGCGAAGCUCUUGAUCGAAGCCCCGGUAAACGGCGGCCGUAACUAUAACGGUCCUAAGGUAGCGAAAUUCCUUGUCGGGUAAGUUCCGACCUGCACGAAUGGCGUAAUGAUGGCCAGGCUGUCUCCACCCGAGACUCAGUGAAAUUGAACUCGCUGUGAAGAUGCAGUGUACCCGCGGCAAGACGGAAAGACCCCGUGAACCUUUACUAUAGCUUGACACUGAACAUUGAGCCUUGAUGUGUAGGAUAGGUGGGAGGCUUUGAAGUGUGGACGCCAGUCUGCAUGGAGCCGACCUUGAAAUACCACCCUUUAAUGUUUGAUGUUCUAACGUGGACCCGUGAUCCGGGUUGCGGACAGUGUCUGGUGGGUAGUUUGACUGGGGCGGUCUCCUCCUAAAGAGUAACGGAGGAGCACGAAGGUUGGCUAAUCCUGGUCGGACAUCAGGAGGUUAGUGCAAUGGCAUAAGCCAGCUUGACUGCGAGCGUGACGGCG